CCGCGGGGCCGGUUCCGGUGUAGGGGAGGCCGUGGCCACCGGAUCCGGCCGCCACGACCUCCCCGCCGGCGGAUCUAGCCACCCGA
rnacentral:pre_miRNA from 1 species